rnacentral:rRNA from 1 species
CCCUUAGAUGUUCUGGGCCGCACGCGCGCUACACUGAUGCAUUCAACAAGCCUAGCCUUGACCGAGAGGUCCGGGUAAUCUUUGAAACUGCAUCGUGAUGGGGCUAGAUUAUUGCAAUUAUUAAUCUUCAACGAGGAAUGCCUAGUAAGCGUGAUUCAUCAAAUCGCGUUGAUUACGUCCCUGCCCUUUGUACACACCGCCCGUCGCUCCUACCGAUUGAAUGUGUUGGUGAGGAGCUCGGAUUGGCAGCAGUUGGUGGUUCGCCACUGGCUAUUGCUGAGAAGUCCUCCAAACCGCCCCAUUUAGAGGAAGGAGAAGUCGUAACA